GAUGAACGCUGGCGGCGUGCUUAAUACAUGCCAGUCGAGCGAACGGACGAGAAGCUUGCUUCGCUGUUGUUAGCGGCGGACGGGUGAGUAACACGUGUAUCACCUACCUAUAUGACUGGGAUAACUACGGGAAACCGUAGCUAAUACCGGAUAAUAUUUUGAACCGCAUGGUUCAAAAGUAAAAGACGGCCUUGCUGUCUCUUAUAGCUGGAUCCGCGCUGCAUUAGCUAGUUGGUAAGGUAACGGCCUACCAAGGCAACGAUGCAUAGACGACCUGAGAGGGUGAUCGCCCACAUGGGAGGGGAGACACGGUCCAGACGACUAAGAGAGGCAGCAGAAGGGAAUCGGACGCAAUGGGCGAAAGCCUGACGGAGCAGCGCCGCGUGAGUGAUGAAGGUCUUCGGAGCGUAAAACUCUGUUAUUAGGGAAGAACAUAUGUGUAAGGAACUGUGCACAUCGUGACGGUAACUAAUCAGAAAGCCACGGCUAACUACGUG
rnacentral:rRNA from 1 species